AGGGAGACUGGGACCCUGAAAACCAUCGUUGAGUAGGGAGGCUCCAGAUACCAAACGAACAGAACAUCGAAUGAAGCGCAGCAACAUCCGAGGAACUCUCACACCGAAACACCAAGUGGUCAUGCCGUUAGCCGAUCGAGACAAAUCGAGCCCAUCAUCAAGAAUUCGACCAUCCUCACUACACAGAGCUAUGAGUGGCACCACUACGAAGGAACAAAAUACGAUCUCGGCAAUCCAAGCACAUCCACGACUGGAUGGUGCACACGAACCCUCAAGUUUUUCCAGUCAAUUCGAAUGCGUGGCCAAGGGUUAAAGAUCUGGGGGUCGUCAUGAAAUCUUCAUCCCAAAAGUAACGCGACCAGGGGCGCGGUAAAACCCUAUUUCUCGGGCUCAUGACGAUUUAGAUUAGUAAAUGUUUCUUUUCUCAGAAAAUACGCACAAACCAAGACAAACCAAUUUUGUCCAUAGAUAUAGUCGAUACAUAAAGCUUCUUAAUGCUUAGUGUACAAUUAAGCCUAUUUUAGCAGAUACCAUAGGCUAGAAUCCGAUUUGAAAGUUUUGCCGUAGGAUUCGUUUAAGUUGGACAUGGACUUUGGUCAGAGACGAUUUGAGAGGUCGUAGAUUUUGCCAGGCGCAGCUGGCAUGAAGUUUAGUCUAGCAUUAAGAUUAUGCAGUUUGGAGGAUAGAGAAGAUUUGGCAAGCGACCAAGGCUUGCGUAUGAGUUUGGUUUUAGUUGAGGAAACGAUGUAACUUGAGGUCUGCUCAAGAGUUAGGUUGACCGACUUGUCUCUGACCAUCAUCCUAGGAGGAUGACUGAAGAUUUUGUGAAUUUUUCAUAAAUCGUUUGAUCACCGAUUUAUGAAAAAUUCUUCCGCUACGGUAGAGUUGUGUUACGUUUAGAUCUGUUGUAGUUUAGUUGAAGCACUAGAAAUAAAAUCAUAAACGAAUAACAACUCGUAACAUACAAAAACAUAUUACCCGCCACGCACGCCAACAAAAUUCGCUCCGUGUGGGCGCAUUCGAACACCAACCGUCUUUUCAAAUCCUACGCUUCACACCGAUGGAAAAGACUAUACCAACGGCGACCGACAGCUGUCAUCUGUCUUCGCUGACCAGUACCAACAUAACGGAAAGGAGGAAUGAUCGAGAAAAAGCGGGCAGAAGAAAAAGUGGUCCGUUCGGUGCACAUCGCGUGUGGUUUUUGCGGCGGACAGAAAAUCUGUUUUGUGCAGAAGGAGAAAAUCUCCGUCGUUGAGUGAGUAACACCCAGUGCGGGUGGCAAAAAGGGCCGGAAUUGGCUCAGCCAACGGGAGUAGGUCGGAAAUAUCGCAGGAGUGUGAUCAGCACGUGCUGGAACCGCAGGAACCAGUGAUCACGGGCAAAACCACCACGGGUGCCAGCAUCACGAGUGACCAGACCGACACGGACAGAACAGGAAAAGAUCGCAGGAGCACGUGACGGGCAACGGAGGAACCGUUGAUCAAGGGGAGCCCACGCACUGCACCUUCCGUGUGAGCGCCACGUAAAUCCACUGCAAGUUGGUCAAAUCAUCUCUAGCACAGCGAGGCCAGCCAAUAUAAGAACCGAAGCCCUCGCCAAAGCCGUCAAGGCUCACAUCCAGAAAAGAGGCUUUCCAUUGGAAGGCCUCUUUUUAUUUAUCGUCCUUUCUUUAGUGGGUCGCCCACGGUCGGGAACCUCGACCGGCGACGGACAUUCGGAGGCAGGCACGAGAUCCGAACAAGUUGCGGGAGGCGAGAGAAGGAGCCGCACAGGAACCCGAACUCGGAACCGACUGGCGAGCGCCCUUCCGUCGAGGCCAAAUCCGGCGCAUCCGGCGGAGAUACGACGAUCAGGGCAGUGGUUCGAGCGCUGUACCACGACGCACGGGCGAGCCAGCGACAUUACGAUUCGAGACCAUUUCCGAGCAUCGAGACCCCAUUCGUGGCGCCUUUUUGCCCUGGCUGCGGUGAGCAUCCGG